UGGGAAUAUUGCGCAAUGGGGCAACCUGACGCAGCAACGCCGCGUGAAGGAAGAAGGUCUUCGGAUCGUAAACUUUUGUCUUCAGGAACGAAAAUGACGGUACCUGAGGAGGAAGCCACGGCUAACUACGUGCCAGCAGCCGCGGUAAUACGUAGGUGGCAAGCGUUGUCCGGAUUUACUGGGUGUAAAGGGCGUGUAGGCGGGCUGAUAAGUCAGAUGUGAAAUACCGAGGCUUAACCUCGGGGCUGCAUUUGAAACUGUCAGUCUUGAGUGUCGGAGAGGUAAGCGGAAUUCCUAGUGUAGCGGUGAAAUGCGUAGAUAUUAGGAGGAACACCAGUGGCGAAGGCGGCUUACUGGACGAUAACUGACGCUGA
rnacentral:rRNA from 1 species